rnacentral:rRNA from 1 species
GAUGAACGCUGGCGGCGUGCCUAAUACAUGCAAGUCGAGCGAACAGACGAGGAGCUUGCUCCUUUGACGUUAGCGGCGGACGGGUGAGUAACACGUGGAUAACCUACCUAUAAGACUGGGAUAACUUCGGGAAACCGGAGCUAAUACCGGAUAACAUGUUGAACCGCAUGGUUCAACAGUGAAAGACGGUCUUGCUGUCACUUAUAGAUGGAUCCGCGCCGCAUUAGCUAGUUGGUAAGGUAACGGCUUACCAAGGCAACGAUGCGUAGCCGACCUGAGAGGGUGAGCGGCCACACUGGAACUGAGACACGGUCCAGACUCCUACGGGAGGCGGCAGUAGGGAAUCUUACGCAAUGGGCGAAAGCCUGACGGAGCAACGCCGCGGGAGUGAAGAAGGUCUUCGGAUCGUAAAACUCUGUUAUUAGGGAAGAACAAAUGUGUAAGUAACUAUGCACGUCUUGACGGUACCUAAUCAGAAAGCCACGGCUAACUACGUG